GUUAGCUUGAUACCUUUAGUUACCUAGGAUAUGUGAAAUAACUUGUGUUUUAGUUGAUAGCUUGAGGGUUUAAGAGAUAAUAGAUGCUUCUCAGCUUCUGCUAGUUACCAGUACCUAAACAACAUAGCUGUGUAUGACAAGAGUAGUACCUGGUUAAAAGGAAACUAACUAGGCUUCAGCCGGCUACUGUUGUAGACAAAUACUUGCUGUGGCUUUUAAUGUCUUCACCAUGACUCAGGCUGAAUUUUAAUCUCAAUUCUGAGAUAUUGAGAGGGUAGAAAUUAACAAAGUAAGGUGCCUGAAAGUAGAUUUUUGGAGGUAUAUUGGUUUCUUUCAUGCUGGUGUGAUCAAAUUAUCCGAUAGGAACAACAUAAGGGAGAAAGGUCCUUUAGGUUCAUAGUUUUAGAGGAACUUCAGCCCAUCAUGGUAAGGAAGGUAUCAUGAUUGUGGGCCUGUAUAGUGGAGACGUCUCACUUCAUGUUGGAUGAGGAAGCAGAGUGAACAGGUUAGAAUAGAGCCUCCAUGUGGCUUUAUUUACAAUGAACCAAUGGACUGCUUGCUGUGAUGCAACCUUGGUGCAGGCACAAAGACAACAGGGCCAAGUGAUCAUGGAUUGAGACCCCUGGAAUUAUCCUUGGUUGGUGGAAUCUGCUGACACGGAACUUGCAGCUAUAUAGAGCGGUGAGUGGAGUUAUUUUGUGGCAAUUACUGGCAGCAGAAGCCAACUGUUUUUCAGGUGCCAACUGAUCAUAUAUCUAACAGGGAAGCUGAAGAAG